rnacentral:lncRNA from 1 species
CAGCCCUCCAAAGCUGCUGCUGCAACUGUUAUCUCCAUUUUACAGGUGAGGAAUACCAAGAAACACGGCAACAGGAGCCUACACCAGCAGAGGAAUGACCCGUGGUUUGUAUGAUUUCAUCACUGUCCCUUGUUUCAUCAUCUCUGAACGUAGAGGAUGGAUGACAUCUCAAAGUGACGGUGACAAGGCUCCACUGCCCACUGCACUGACUGUUCCUUUCCCCACCCCCCUCCCAGUCACCCUCCCUGGAUCCCAGUCUGGGGUGGAGGUGGAGAGGAAGAGCCAAGGCCACCUCACAGGUCACUGGGCAAAUGCUCGACUGCAUUCUGGGGGGAGUCCAAGUCGGAAAAGAGUUCCUGAAGAAGAAAUUUCCACAGCCCUUCCCCCAAGGAGGGAUUUUUCCAUUCUGCCUAGGCAGACAUGCCUCUCAGAGUCCCCAGAGUCUGGCUGUGGCAAGCCUUAGGUCUUGUUGAAUAGCUUAGUCCCCAGCACUGGAGGGGGUGGAGGAGAGGGGCGAGCUUGUAGGAGAGGCAGCACUGACCUAGAAAUGGGAAAAGCGUGGGGAGGGGAGGGUGCCUGGAGGAUGUAGAGCAAAAUAUUCACUCUUGUAGAAGAAUCCCAGCCAGAGAUCAACAGGGAUAGCAAGCAUGAGGGAAGCUUCCUAGAAGAGGGCAGGGAGGAAAGGAAGAGAGAGAUCAGGCCGGCAGCUGCAAGUGCAGAAUGGAAGAGAGGAGGAACCAUAUGGAGCUGUUUGUCAAGGCUUCCAUGAAUGUGAGGACCGUACUGGAUGCAAAGAUUAUGAUGAGGCGGAAGGUGGACUGUGAAGGACGUGCAGCCAGUGCAGGGGCUGACUGUGUAGCUCCCGCACCUCUCCCUCAGAGCAGCACCUGGCUGGCUCCUGAACCCUCAGCAAUGGCUGCUCUUCCCACUGGAGAUUGGGAGUAUCCUGAGAGUCGGGACAUUAUUAUGCUUGUUCUCCACCAAAUCCCCAGAGCCCCUCACAGGGCAGGCUGGAGAGAUGCUGCUGAGAUCCGCUGAACUGCACUUUGGAGUGUCCUGGGUUUCUCUGUAUAUCUUUGGAGAAGGAAUCUCACCAUGUAGCCCUGGCUGGCUUGGAACUCACUAGGCAGACCAAGAAAUUGCAGCAACCCUAUCACCUCAACCUCCUGAGUCCUAACACUGAAGGCAUGUGCCACCAUGCCUGGCUGCAUAGCUUUUUUUUUUUUUUAACAACUUACAUGUAAAUUAAUUUAAACUAAAUUAAACAUAAAAUUCAGAGUCUCAGCUGACCCUUGUAUGGAGUGCUUCGCAACUGUGGGGGGUGGCUAGCAUAGAACUGCAGUCUUACCCUAUAAAGGGGCUUAUGAGUGAGAGAUGGAGCCUGGCAUGCAGAAAGAGGGAAGUAAUCCUGGUGUGUAUGUGUGUGUGUGUGUGUGUGUGUGUGUGGCGGGGGAAUGGUGACAGACCCUUAUGGAGCAGGGACCACUUGUGGAAGGAAGGGUUUUUGAAGAGAAUCAGAAUCCCACAAUCCCAUGGGACAGCACAG